rnacentral:rRNA from 1 species
GAUGAACGCUAGCGGCAGGCUUAACACAUGCAAGUCGAGGGGCAGCAUAGGGUAGCAAUACUCUGAUGGCGACCGGCAAACGGGUGAGUAACGCGUAUGCAACCUACCCUGUACAGGGGGAUAACCCGGAGAAAUUCGGACUAAUAUCCCGUAAUAAUAUCCGGAGGCAUCUUUGGAUAUUUAAAGUUCCGACGGUACGGGAUGGGCAUGCGUAACAUUAGCUGGUUGGUAAGGUAACGGCUUACCAAGGCUAUGAUGUUUAGGGGUCCUGAGAGGGUGGUCCCCCACACUGGUACUGAGACACGGACCAGACUCCUACGGGAGGCAGCAGUGAGGAAUAUUGGUCAAUGGGCGCAAGCCUGAACCAGCCAUCCCGCGUGCAGGAAGACGGCCCUAUGGGUUGUAAACUGCUUUUCCAGGGAGAGAACUUACGCACGUGUUGCGUGACUGACGGUACCUGGGAAUAAGCAUCGCUAACUCCGUGCCAGCAGCCGACGGUAAACGUCUACUGCG